rnacentral:lncRNA from 1 species
UUUUUUUUUUUUUUUUUUUUAACAAGUGGAUGGCUGCCUUGAAUGAAACACCUUGAAAACUCAAAAUGUCAGACUCAGAGUCCUCUCCACAUUGAGAGCUUUAGAGAGCUGGUGACAGGCUCUCAGAAAAGAGAGCCCAAGUGGCCUGCUUCAGCAAAGGGAUGCUUGAAUUUUUAAUUCCUAAAAACACCCAUGAUCUGUGUAUACAGUUGCUCCCAUGCCCUCUCAGCGCUGAAAUGGGACUUCCCAUUAUUCAUCAAGUCCUCUCUCUUCCCUCUUUAAUUCACAAAAAGUUUUCUGAGAGCUUACCAUGUGUCAGGCACUGUUAGGACUUGGAAUAUUCUAUUUAGUUCUUUUUCUAAAAACAUCCAUUGCUGUGAUGAUGAUUAUUACAUAUGUGAUAUACAUCUUAUUAUUAUCCUCACUUCAGUUUACUUAUGAGAAAACAGAGACUCAGAGAGGUUAAGUAACUUUCUCAAUGUCACACAGCCAGAAGGAAGCCGAGAUCUGGUUUCCAAUGUCUUGUCUGGACAAAUUAAAUAUUACAUGAAGAACAUCAUAACAAAAAAUAUCAUCAGAGACAAAGAGGGACACUGUAUUAGUCUGUUCUUAUGCUGUUAAUAAAGAUAUACCCAAGACUGGGUAAUUUAUAAAGGAAAGAGGUUUAAUUGACUCACAGUUCCACAUGGCUGGGGUGGCCUCACAAUCAUGGUGGAAGGUGAAUGAGGAGCAAAGUCACAUCCUACAUGGAAGCAGGCAGGAGAGCUUGUGCAGGGGGACAACCAUUUAUAAAACCAUCCUAUCUCAUGGGACUUAGGCACUAGCACAAGAACAGUGUGGAGGAAUCCACCCCCAUGAUUCAACUUAGUUUUGGUUUGGUGAUGUGGAACUUUAGCAUAAGUGAGUCCAUUUUGGUUUGGUCUGCUGGGGCCUAGUGCAGAAGCUGAGUCCAUAUCAAUAGGCUCUCAUAAAUUUUAUUUAACAGUGAUUAAAAUGCAAAACCAUUAACAUUAAAAUUAUUGCAACUGACUUAUGAAAAAAUCUUUAUUAUAUAAUGUUAAGUGGGGAAAAGCAGGAUGCAAUAAAGAUCUGCAUGAAAUAGAAAUGCAUAUCCACAGAAUCUGGAAUGAAGUACACAAAAGGGAAGAGUGAGAAAGGUGGUAUUAUGGGUAAUAUUUUGGUGGAGGGGGCACCAUUUUUGAAAUUGUCUUUAGUGUUCCUUCUCAGUGUGGGUUUUUAUGUAGGGAAGGGGAUUUGUAUUGGAGAGUCACAUAUUAAAACCAUAUAAAUCACAAGUCGUAUUAGUCCCUUUUCAUGCUUCUGAUGAAGACAUACCUGAGACUGGGCAUUUACAAAAUAAGGAGGUUUAUUGGUCUUACAGUUCCACAUGGCUGGGGAGGCCUCACAAUCAUUGUGGAAGGCAAGGAGGAGCAAGUCACACCUUAUGUGGAUGGCAGCAAGCAAAAAGAGAGAGCUUGUGCAGGGAAACUCCCAUUUUUAAAACCAUCAGAUCUCACGAGACUAUUCACUAUCAUGAGAACAGCGCAGGAAAGACCUGCACCCUUGAUUCAAUUACCUCCCACCAGCUUCUUCCCAUGACAUGUGGGGAUUGUGGGAGUUACAAUUCAAGAUAAGAUUUGGGUGGAGCCACAACCAAACCAUAUCACAAGUAUUCAUAGCUCUCUGAAUUUUCCCAGACUGAACACCCUGUGUACUAAGCACUCAGAUCAAGAAACAGAGCAUUGUUAGGAUUCAGAAACCUCGCAUCCUCCACUCCCAUCAUUCUUAGUGUGAAAUUAGGAAAACCAAUUCUCUGAGAAUGGAAUGGAUUGUCCUUAAGUAUGCAAAAAGAAGAUCUUGGCCAGAAAGCCAAGGAAGAGGAGGCUGAUCACUUGAGUCGGUAAGGACUGAGCCUUCCUGGGGCUUCCUAUUCAUCAUUCACUCUUACUCUGGAAAUAGCAGAGGUGGGGUGGGCCGUUUUCAGAGCAGGAACUUGUUUAUGCACCUAACC